GACAGAGGGUGCUAGCGUUGUUCGGAAUUACUGGGCGUAAAGGGCGCGUAGGCGGCCUUCUAAGUCGAACGUGAAAUCCCCGGGCUCAACCCGGGAACUGCGUCCGAUACUGGAAGGCUUGAAUCCGGGAGAGGGAUGCGGAAUUCCAGGUGUAGCGGUGAAAUGCGUAGAUAUCUGGAGGAACACCGGUGGCGAAGGCGGGUCUCUGGGCAGUAACUGACGCUGAGGAGCGAAAGCGUGGGGAGCGAACGGG
rnacentral:rRNA from 1 species